rnacentral:rRNA from 1 species
GACGAACGCUGGCGGCGUGCUUAACACAUGCAAGUCGAACGGAAAGGCCUGCUUUCCCUUGUGGAUUGCGGGUACUCGAGUGGCGAACGGGUGAGUAACACGUGAGUGAUCUGCCCCCAACUUGGGUAUAAGCCUGGGAAACUGGGUCUAAUUCCCGAUAGGACUGCAGGGUGGUGCCUGUGGUGGAAAACGAUUUUCUAGUGGUUGGGGAUGAGCUCGCGGCCUAUCAGCUUGUUGGUGGGGUAAUGGCCUACCAAGGCGGCGACGGGGAGCCGGCCUGAGAGGGUGGACGGCCACAUUGGGACUGAGAUACGGCCCAGACUCCUACGGGAGGCAGCAGUGGGGAAUAUUGCACAAUGGGCGGAAGCCUGAUGCAGCGACGCCGCGUGGGGGAUGACGGCCUUCGGGUUGUAAACUCCUUUCGACCGCGAGGAAGCCACCUGGUUGGAAGGGUGGUGACGGUAGUGGUAGAAGAAGCACCGGCUAACUACGUG